rnacentral:rRNA from 1 species
GACGAACGCUGGCGGCGUGCUUAACACAUGCAAGUCGAACGGAAAGGCCCUGCUUUUGUGGGGUGCUCGAGUGGCGAACGGGUGAGUAACACGUGAGUAACCUGCCCUUGACUUUGGGAUAACUUCAGGAAACUGGGGCUAAUACCGGAUAGGAGCUCCUGCUGCAUGGUGGGGGUUGGAAAGUUUCGGCGGUUGGGGAUGGACUCGCGGCUUAUCAGCUUGUUGGUGGGGUAGUGGCUUACCAAGGCUUUGACGGGUAGCCGGCCUGAGAGGGUGACCGGCCACAUUGGGACUGAGAUACGGCCCAGACUCCUACGGGAGGCAGCAGUGGGGAAUAUUGCACAAUGGGCGGAAGCCUGAUGCAGCAACGCCGCGUGCGGGAUGACGGCCUUCGGGUUGUAAACCGCCUUCGCCUGUGACGAAGCGUGAGUGACGGUAAUGGGUAAAGAAGCACCGGCUAACUACGUGCCAGCAGCCGCGGUGAUACGUAGGGUGCGAGCGUUGUCCGGAUUUAUUGGGCGUAAAGGGCUCGUAGGUGGUUGAUCGCGUCGGAAGUGUAAUCUUGGGGCUUAACCCUGAGCGUGCUUUCGAUACGGGUUGACUUGAGGAAGGUAGGGGAGAAUGGAAUUCCUGGUGGAGCGGUGGAAUGCGCAGAUAUCAGGAGGAACACCAGUGGCGAAGGCGGUUCUCUGGGCCUUUCCUGACGCUGAGGAGCGAAAGCGUGGGGAGCGAACAGGCUUAGAUACCCUGGUAGUCCACGCUGUAAACGGUGGGUACUAGGUGUGGGGUCCACUCCACGGGUUCCGUGCCGUAGCUAACGCUUUAAGUACCCCGCCUGGGGAGUACGGCCGCAAGGCUAAAACUCAAAGGAAUUGACGGGGCCCCGCACAAGCGGCGGAGCAUGCGGAUUAAUUCGAUGCAACGCGUAGAACCUUACCUGGGUUUGACAUGGAUCGGGAGCGCUCAGAGAUGGGUGUGCCUCUUUUGGGGUCGGUUCACAGGUGGUGCAUGGCUGUCGUCAGCUCGUGUCGUGAGAUGUUGGGUUAAGUCCCGCAACGAGCGCAACCCUUGUUCACUGUUGCCAGCACGUUAUGGUGGGGACUCAGUGGAGACCGCCGGGGUCAACUCGGAGGAAGGUGGGGAUGACGUCAAGUCAUCAUGCCCCUUAUGUCCAGGGCUUCACGCAUGCUACAAUGGCUGGUACAGAGAGUGGCGAGCCUGUGAGGGUGAGCGAAUCUCGGAAAGCCGGUCUCAGUUCGGAUUGGGGUCUGCAACUCGACCUCAUGAAGUCGGAGUCGCUAGUAAUCGCAGAUCAGCAACGCUGCGGUGAAUACGUUCCCGGG